AAGGGAGGAAAAUUAAAGCACUGCAAAAAAACCCCAUUAUUGCAUGACAACACAAGGGAAAAAUUGGUUAAAUUUUGCCCCCCUAUUUCCCCAAAUCUGACUCUGGCCCCUUACACAUGACAGAGGUGAACAAGGCAAAGCUGGGAGCAGCUUCCAGCUGAGGUAGCUUUUACAGGGAACUGAGCACACGAACAGCGGUGGUUCAAGGGCAGGCAGCUUCACCCCGUGCCACCCCCCAGCACUCCUUUCUCCUUGCCAGGAAGGCAGCAUGGCCACAGCAGCCACACAAAACCCCUGUGCUGACACUGGCCAGAGCUUCCUCUCUUGGUGUUGAAGGGACAAGAACCCCUCAGGAGGCAAUGGGUGAGCCACCACAGGCUGUGGUCAUGAAGACUUUUGGAGGACCGGAUGAGACCUGUGAGGGCCUGGAUUGGUUUUGGACAGAAUAUAGAGAGGAAUGGCAACAGUGAAGGGAAAAGGAGAACCGUGGGGGAAGAGAUGAGUGAAGCCAAGCGGCGCCGCAUUGAGGCUGAGUUUGAGCGGCUGUUCCGGCUGCUGGCGGAGCAGGAGCGCACCAUGCUGGGGUGGCUGGCUGGGCUGGACGACACCUUCACAGCUACCCAUGCCAAAAAAUCAUUGCGGGUGGCUGAGGGGGUUGCACAGCUCUACAGACUCAUCGUGCAGCUGGAGUCCAGCUUGAGUGAAAUGAGGCUCCACCUCCCUUCGGGGCUUCCCAAGGAGCUGGAGAAGAGCCUGAGCUCCUGCUGCCACCAAAGUGAUGCUCUGUGGGAGGCCCUGGAGAACUUCAGAGGUCAUGAAUUAAAGAAAAAAACAAAACAAAAAACCGCCCCCGGUUUUCCUUUUGUGCUCGCACGUGCGCGUGUGUGUGUGUGUAUGCAUAGGCUAAAUUUUAAGGUGCGGAGUGGCGGACCUGUCCCGGGGCCUAAACUCUACGGCCUUGACUGAGAAGACCACUUCCCGCUCCUGCCCGCCGCUGGAAGCGGCUGCCGGCUCUGGCUGUCGUCACUCGGCUGCCCUCACGCGUCCAUUCACAUGUCGCCCCCGGCCUCGGUGCGGCCCCUCUGCCGCCGCCCCGCCCGUACCGCCGUGCAGCUCCCAGAGCCUGGGCAGCGACCAGAGCGGCUCGCACCGCACCACCCGCUCGGUGCGCCUCUUGUAGCGCCGUCUCGCCCUCAGGGCAGAUUUUCUGGUGACUCUGGCACCGGCACGGCUCGGUUCGGCUCCGGUAUCGCCGCCUCGGCCGUCCCACGGCGCAGCUCUUUGAGACGCGGGGCAGCGGCCACCCCGACGGGCAGCUAACGCCGACGUGUGUUUUGUGUACCGCAAGCGCAGCUUUUCAAGCUCUGUCUAGCAGGAGACAAGAAACCAAUGAAUUAUUCCCGAGACAUCGAGAGCUGGACCGUCUUCCAUCUGAUAGCUUUAUCCUGAGUCCAGAGAAGCUUUGGGACUCACUUGAUUAACAAAAGGACAAAGAACAUCCUGGCCUGCGGCGAGAAAGAGAGUAUAAGAACCGGACUCGGACACGGCUGUGGUGUGCCACUACCACUCUGAUGCAUGCAGGGGCUCAGAGCUGUGAACGUGUGUCACCCAGAGCCUAAGUCCUGGGCUAGGCUCUGUCCGAUUCGUAGCUGACCCAGAUUUUGUCAUUCAAACGCGAAAUAAAUUUUAUACUUUGUUAUUUUUAUCAUAAUUUGGCUCUCACAAAUUAUUGAUUCGAUUUAAUUGGCAAUUACGUUUAUAAUAUACCUUAUUCAUAACUAUAAUUCCUGGUUAGUAUUUUAAACGGUAUGUGUUUCUUAUUAUUUUUAUAGCUCUAUAAUAAAAUCUGCAAUUAUAUUUAAACAUAUAUAUAUCUUAUAAUAAAAUGAGAUAUAGCAUAUUGAAACUCCGUUAAUGUUAUUAUAUUUAAAAUACACCCAACGGUGGGUUUUUAUUUCACUUUAACCCUCCUACUCCAAGCUGGUAUCCACAUGAGCUCCAGGGGACUCGGCUCACUUGCCCCAUUUCUGCUUUAAUCCUUGUCUUCUGGAGCCCCCUUCUGGCCUCACUCUGCUUCCCCCGGUGCAGCCGGAGGAGUAAGAGUUCGCCUUGUAAAUAACUCGUCCCUCCUAGGCCCCAGCUGCCGCUGCUUUCGUUCCCUUUUGUCCGUAAAUCACCGCUGGCGCUAGCCCGAGGGGCUGUUCCAUGACUGCGGCGGUGGGAAUGUCGGACCCGCCCGGGGUUGCCUUUGCUUGGGAGGUUCCGGACCCUGGCACCAGCGUCCCGGCCCGCCGCCGCCUCCAGGAGCACCCGGGCCAGGCCUCUUCCCGUGCGCACCUCCCCGGAGUGCGUCCUGUAAACAGCCAUGGCCACGGGAAACGCCAUCAGAUACCUCCAGCAGGAAACCACUUGAGCUAUCUGCUUGGAUUUCUUCCAGGAUCCUGUCAUGAUCCUCAGCUGUGGCCACAAUUUCUGCCGGCGCUGCCUGUUGCAGUGUGUGGCAGGCCGCGCUCCAUGCCCAUAGUGCCAGGUGUCAUUUCCACAUGGUGGUGAUGCCUCAGAAUAGGUGGACAAAACAGUGCCUUCUGUAGCUGGGGACCAAGGACAACCGAUCCAAAUCUCAGACCCCAAAGCAUAAAUGAUGGUAGAAAUGAGAGGAAAACAAGAAGAAUGGUACUUCCAAACCUAAAGCCAUAAUUGGACAAUCAACUCCAAUAUGCUCCAAUUGGAUAUCCAAUAUCCAAUCAACUCCAGAACUUAUAAAAGUGAGCGAUCUGGUGAUCAGUCGUCCAUUUUGUGACAAUUUUGUAUUCAUCUUGGGUGUAGCCCUGGCUGGGCUCUUGUGCUGCCCAAGGUGUA